CCCCAUGCGAGAGUAGGGAACUGCCAGGCAU
rnacentral:ncRNA from 2 species